CAGGGAUGCAGGAGGUGACCUGGCCCACCAAGGGGAGAGAUGUGACGACGCAGGGAGAACUGGGUGGCUCCUGGUGGCUGAAGCCACGCCCACCAGUCCCUCCAGACACGCGACUGUUUUAUGAGCAAAUUACCGAGAACACUUUGAUCUUCAGGGUACAAACGAAUUCGCUGUUCUUUAAACAGAGGGGAGUUUGGGGCUGGCCUGGUAGUAUAGUGGUUACGUUCACAUGUUCUGCUUUGGUGGCCCAGGGUUUGUGGCUUUGGAUCCCGGGCGCAGACCUACACACCACUCAUCAAGCCAUGCUGUGGCAGCAUCCCUCAGACAAAAUAGAGGAAGACUGGCACAGAUUCUUGUGGGGAGAGGGGGCCAUGCAGGCGAGCACAGCUAACCGAGGGACAAUAAUGAAUUUGGAACUGCAGCCUCGUCCUUCUGAUCGUCAGGGGCCAGGUCAUCCUUUUUGCCACCAGGAAUCAACUGUGUCCCGUGAUGUCUUCAGUUUGAACAGACAGAUAAUCCGAAAGAGAUUACUGCCCCUCGGCUCACCGGCACAGGCGAUGGCAGCUCAUAUGAAGCGCAGCACGUCCCCAGACGCACUGCACCCCGACCACAGGCCCACGGGGAGCUGACGGCGGCACCUGUCUGCUUGGCAGGUGACGAUGCUUGGCCCACAGUGAACACUUCUGCCUGAGAAUAGGGAGGUGUAAAGUGAUUCAGCAUACUCCAGGCACGAGUGUCUCUCCUUUGUCCUUUCAAUGAUGAAGUGCUGGCAGCUUGGGAGUAAACAGCAGCACUGGGGAGAAACGGGCCUUUUCUUUUAUAAAAGAUAAACCCGAAUGCGACGGAUGCUGUUUGCCCGGGUCAGCGAGGCGUCCACGCUAAGCUGAUUAGCUCUGGGCAAAGAAGAAAGACAAACACUGGUUUGAAGGUCGCCCUCAUCUGACUGCUCACAAAUGUUCCAGCUCCAGACAAGCCCUCCGCCUCUGCUGCCUCCGCCUGCUCCCUCCACCCGCUGCCAGCAAGCGGGUCUCUCCCCAGAAUGAGGCCGGGGGCAUGGAUACAGGACACACAGCAGGACGCCCUGCCCCGCCAGCCCUGACCCGGGCAGCCCAGGGAGGGCCUGGGGAGCUGGGACUGGCAGGCUUGGCUGGACGUCACCCUGGGCACUGGGGCUGUGGUCACCAGCCCCUCUGCACACGGAGCUGGUGCAGAAGGCACCCGGCUGGCCUAGGGAGGGGCUGGGAAGGGGCUGGAAGAGAAGCCCUUGCAGUUUUUGGUUUCGCU
rnacentral:lncRNA from 1 species